GUCAUUUAAAUGUCCUCAUCUUUGAUCUAGUUUUCUGUUGUUAAAUGUCUUUAGAAUCUGCCUCGUUUUAGUUUUGGUUCAAAAAUCAGCCUGUAAUAGGUUCAAGGUUUGAAGUUAUGAAUCUGGAUGGGAAAUUACUAUCUGAUUGUAUUCUGAAAUGUGAUAGAUGAUUAUUUUGGGCAUAUUUUUCCUUAAUGUGUUUAGCAUACCGCAUACAUAAGUUUCAAAUUAAGCUAACUUCGGAUUAGUUAUUCACUAAAACGAUCGGAUUCAUGAGUCUUACACUUGUUGUCUUGUUACUCUUCUCUUGAAGAAUUCCUCUGCUUUCUAUAUAAAUUCCGAUAAGUUUCUCUCUUUGUUCUCACAUCUCAACUAAUUGACUAGAAGAAUUCUCUGUUAAACGCCUAAUGCUUCACAUUUGAUAUAGCCAAACUUGGUCCAUAUAUUGAUAGUCUUAAGUAAUUUAUCAUUUUAGCGUCAUUUAUGAUUCUGCGAACUUAGCUCCUAUCCCAUGUAUUUAUUUCAUCCUGCUCUAAGUAUUGGACCUCACUUGGUGUUUUACUCAGCUCCUCACUAAUCUUUGUCAUCAACUCCAUGCUUUGCUUCAACCUUUAUCAAAAACUUUGACUUUAAAUUUGAUCAGUGUUUCAUGAAUGGUUGUUCUUCAUGUUCAAAAGGAUUGAAAUAUUUCUCCUGUUACUAGGAGAUGACUGCCAAUAUGUUACAAUGGUGGGAUUGCAAAGUUUCAAACUUUAUCUAUCAUUUUCCAUAUAUGAUAAUUGUGAAUAGUGAUAUCUCUGUAUACCAGGGGGCUUUCCUAUAAGUUAGAAGAGCAAUAAUGAAGUGAG
rnacentral:lncRNA from 1 species